rnacentral:tmRNA from 1 species
GGGGUUGUACAGGUUUCGACGGGGGUUUAGAAAUUAUGUAAGCCAUUCAUGGCCCGGGACCAUGUAAAAACUCGGAAAUCUAAAUAUAAACGCAGAAGACAAUUUUGCAUUAGCUGCCUAGUUGCAGCUUGUCAGCCUUAAGCUCCCCACGACUUAAGACGCUGGCAUCGACCUAGUGGGAAACUCUUGGGCCAAAGCUUUGAGGUUUGAGAAAAAUUAUGAAGCUACCAAGAUGAUGAGCCUGUCUGUGGGCGCUUUGUCGAGGGAAUGUCAAAUCAUAAGACUGUAAUGGGAGAAAGCAUAAUGGAAGAACUUUCGGACGCGGGUUCAAUUCCCGCCAGCUCCACU